UUAGAUACCCUGGUAGUCCACGCCCUAAACGAUGAGUACUAAGUGUUGGUGAGAAUCAGUGCUGAAGUUAACGCAUUAAGUACUCCGCCUGAGUAGUACGUACGCAAGUAUGAAACUUAAAGGAAUUGACGGGAGCCCGCACAAGCGGUGGAGCAUGUUGUUUAAUUCGACGAUACGCGAAGAACCUUACCAGGUCUUGACAUAGCACGCGAAGGCGUAGAGAUACGUUGGAGGAUAGCGUGCAUACAGGUGGUGCAUGGUUGUCGUCAGCUCGUGUCGUGAGAUGUUGGGUUAAGUCCCGCAACGAGCGCAACCCUUAUUUCUAGUUACCAGCAGUAAGAUGGGGACUCUAGAGAGACUGCCAUUGAUAAAAUGGAGGAAGGUGGGGAUGACGUCAAAUCAUCAUGCCCUAUAUGACCUGGGCUACAAACGUGCUACAAUGGCUGAAACAAAGAGAAGCGAGCCNCGCGAGGGGAGCGAACCUCANAAAAGCAGUCUCAGUUCGGAUUGAAGUCUGCAACUCGACUUCAUGAAGAUGGAAUCGCUAGNUAUCGCGAAUCAGAAUGUCGCGGUGAAUACGUUCUCCGGCUUUGUACACACCGCCCGUCAACCAUGAAAGUUUGGUAUACCCGAAGCCGGUGCCUAACGAAAGAGGGAGCCGUCUAAGGUAGGACAGAUGAUUGGGGUUAGUCGUACAAGGUAAGCCGAAUCCACCCACUGCGGGCGUACUAUUGGUUCCAGCUCGGUCCAACUGGGGAAACAUGGGCUAGCUGGUCCUGGUGAAUUGUUUCCGCUCCAA
rnacentral:rRNA from 1 species